CAACCUCAACUCAUAUGGGACUACCCCCUGAAUUUAAGCAUAUUAAUUAGGGGAGGAAAAGAAACUAACAAGGAUUUUCUUAGUAGCGGCGAGCGAAAAGAAAUCAGUUCAGCACUAAGUCACUUUGUCUAUAUGGCAAAUGUGAGAUGCAGUGUACGGAACAUCAACAUUCUAGUAUGAGAAGUUAACGAUUUAAGUCCUUCUUAAAUGAGGCCAUUUACCCAUAGAGGGUGCCAGGCCCGUAUAACGUUAAUGAUUACUAGAUGGUGUUUCCAAAGAGUCGUGUUGCUUGAUAGUGCAGCACUAAGUGGGUGGUAAACUCCAUCUAAAACUAAAUAUAACCAUGAGACCGAUAGUAAACAAGUACCGUGAGGGAAAGUUGAAAAGAACUCUGAAUAGAGAGUUAAAUAGUACGUGAAACUGCUUAGAGGUUAAGCCCGAUGAACCUGAAUAUCCGUUAUGGAAAAUUCAUCAUUAGAAUUGUAAUAUUUUAAACAAUAUUAUAAUAAUAGUGUGCAUUUUUUCCAUAUAAGGACAUUGUAAUCUAUUAGCAUAAAUAUUUAUCAUAAAAUUAUGUCUGAUUGCUUAUUUGAAUUAUAUGCUUGGCAUUUUAACAUAAAAUAAAAGAUAUAAAUUUGAUAAAGUGCUGAUAGAUGUAUAUGAUUACAGUGCGUUAAUUUUUCGGAAUUAUAUAAUGGCAUAAUUAUCAUUGAUAUUUGUGUUUAUUAUAUGCAUUUGUAUGAUUAACAAUGCGAAAGAUUCAGGAUACCUUCGGGA
rnacentral:ncRNA from 1 species